UUACUCUGGUUUUUCUUCAUAAAGCACAGCCUUUCGCUUGUACUAAAGACUUCCGUGGAGAGGAACGCUAUGAGUUGAAUUAUUUUUGGUGGCUUUGCUGUGGUUAAGCC